GUGAUCUCGCGGUCCGCGGGUCCGGGCCGACCGGGCCCCCUGACACAACUUCCCCUGUGCCAGGUGGUUCAGCCGGAACGGAACCUCGGAUCACGGGUCAUCGACA
rfam:Propionibacterium acnes KPA171202, complete genome.